AACGAACGCUGGCGGUAUGCUUAACACAUGCAAGUCGAACGAGACGAGAUGGAAGGAUCCUUCGGGUGACGGAAAUCUUAGAAAGUGGCGAACGGGUGAGUAACGCGUGGGUAACCUGCCCUAUGGAAAGGAAUAGCCUCGGGAAACUGGGAGUAAUGCCUUAUAAUAUAUCGAAGUCGCAUGGCUUUGAUAUUAAACGCUCCGGUGCCAUAGGAUGGACCCGCGUCCCAUUAGCUAGUUGGUGAGAUAACAGCCCACCAAGGCGACGAUGGGUAAACGGGCUGGGAGGGCGGACGGUCACACUGGAACUGAGACACGGUCCAGACUCCUACGGGAGGCAGCAGUGGGGAAUAGUGCGCAAUGGGGGCAACCCUGACGCAGCAAUACCGCGUGAGUGGAGAAGGUUUUCGGAUCGUAAAGCUCUGUUAUUGGGGAAGAAAAAAGACGGUACCCAAGAAGAAAGUCCCGGCUAACUACGUGCCAGCAGCCGCCGUAA
rnacentral:rRNA from 1 species